rnacentral:rRNA from 1 species
AGGACGAACGCUUGCGACGUGCCUAAGAAAUGCAAGUCGAGCGAGGUAGCAAUACCUAGCGGCGAACGGUCGCGUAACACGUAAGCAACCUGCCUCAAAGACCGGGACAACGUUUCGAAAGGGGCGCUAAUACCGGAUGUGCCCAUAGGGAGUCAUCUCCUUGUGAGUAAAUCGAGCAAUCGGCUUUGAGAGGGGCUUGCGGCCUAUCAGCUAGAUGGUGGGGUAACGGCCUACCAUGGCUUCGACGGGUAGCUGGU